UACGUAGGGGGCUAGCGUUGUUCGGAAUUACUGGGCGUAAAGCGCGUGUAGGCGGUUGCCCAAGUCGGGUGUGAAAGCCUUGAGCUCAACUCAAGAAAUGCACUCGGUACUGGGUGACUAGAGGACCGGAGAGGAUAGUGGAAUUCCCAGUGUAGUGGUGAAAUACGUAGAGAUUGGGAAGAACACCAGUGGCGAAGGCGGCUAUCUGGACGGUUUCUGACGCUAAGACGCGAAAGCGUGGGAAGCAAACAGG
rnacentral:rRNA from 1 species